rnacentral:snRNA from 1 species
UGUGAGGCUGAUCUGCUUUCAAAAUUUCUCUCUCUGUGUUGGCCAGGAUUGAUGCAACUGAGCUGGCUGGGCUGGGCAGGUGACCCCUUCCUUCCUCACCUGAAGCUUUGUGCCUAGUCAAAGCAAGCAGGCUCCUUAUCAUGUAGAGAGGGACCAUCCGCCCAACAUGGGUGUGUGGGAAAGUGUGCUCCCCUACGAGUCCUUCCAAACGAUCCCUCAUGGUCCAAGGGGAAACUUGCAGGGUAUUGGUGAGGGUUCAAUGACAUCAUGGAUAUAAAACACUUUGUAAACUCUAAGGGUUUCUUCCAUUUGGUU